UAAGUACUCCCUCCAUCCCAAAAUUCUUGUCUUAGAUUUGUCUAGAUACGGAUGUAUCAAAAUACUAAAAUGUGACUUGAUACAUCCGUAUCUAGACAAAUCUAAGACAAGAAUUUUGGGGCGGAGGGAGUAUGAU
rfam:Triticum urartu cultivar G1812 contig1171751, whole genome shotgun sequence.